GGUCUGCAGCUCAGUGGUAAGAUUGUCUGCCUUGCAUGCAGAAGGUCCCAGGUUCAGUCCCUGGCAUCCCAGGCGGAGCU